UAAGGGCACCACAAGAACGCGUGGAGCAUGUGGCUUAAUUUGACUCAACGCGGGGAAUCUUACUAGGUCCGGACCGAUUCUAUGAUCGUCGUACUGUGGGGUGCUACGUGAUUACUGGAUGAGUGGUGCAUGGCCGUUCUUAGUUCGUGGUGUUAAUUGUCUACUUAAUUGUCAUCGUCGUUCCGUGUUCACAGCUCGGAGCUAUGAACGAACGAGAUCGAGACCCGUGGUUGCGUGUGUUUGAAUUCGGUAUUACUACGGGGAUCGCGUAUUACUCCACGGUACGAUCGAAAGACUCGGCAAUAACAGGUCUGUGAUGCCCUCAGAUGUUCUAGGCUGCACACGUGCUACAGUGUGGUUCUGUUCAUAUGUGUAUGCGUAGACUUGAGAUCCCCCGCACCGAGUCAUAACUGGUCACACGGUUGGGCUCACCGAUUGUCAAUUAUUCGGUAUCUUAACUAGGAAUGCCUCGUACGGG
rnacentral:rRNA from 1 species